UGUGCCCGCUUGCUAGUCAAUGAGGAUGGCAGCGACAUGGGGUGAGCAACGAGCGCGAUGGCCGGCCAGUGCGAGCGACGAGGAUGGCCUACAGAGCAACAGGUUGAGUGACAAGGAAGGCGGUCGUCGGAUGGCCGCAUUGCUACAGAAUCGGCCUUUAGUCCCGGCCGGAAAGGGGCUUUAGCCCCGGAUUCCGAGCCAGGACUACGCUUCCGGGACUAAAGGCCCCCCUUUAAUCCCGGCUCCGUGCACCGGCACCAAAGCCCCACCCUUUAGUCCCGGGCGUUAUUACUAGCCGGGAUUAAAGGGCGCUGUUAGCGGUGCCACGCAGUAGCACCCUUUAGUCCCAGCUGGUAGUACCGUCCGGGACUAAAGGGGCCCCUUGUUUUUUCUUUUUCUUUUUCUUUUCUUUUUAGUUCUGUUUUUUUAGUUUUGUUUAUUUAUACAAUAGGUUUUCCAAUAUGUAUUCUUUGUUGCUAAUAUAUAUAUAUAUAUAUAGAGAGAGAGAACUAUUACUCUAUAGUUGGCUACAAAAUAACUUAUUUUGUAGCCACUUUGUGUUACGAUAAUUACUGUAUUAAUUUACAAGAUUAUAGUAACUUCUUGCUAAGUGAUUUACUAUAACACUACAGUAACUAUCCCAUGUGUUAUAGUAACCCAACUAUCAUAAAUAUGUAUACAUAUUAUCGUAAAUUAGUAUAUAAAUUAUCGUAAAUAGAGGUGGCUACAGAAUAACAUAUUUUAUAGCUAGCUACAGAGUAUACUCUCCCUAUAUAUAUGUUAGCAGCAUAUGACAAUAAGCUUAUUUUAUACAUAUAUAAUUGAAUUAUAUAACUACAUAUAUAUAUAUAUAAAUAUAUGCACAUAAAUAUAUAGAAGUUGUUCUCCAAAUCUAUUACUGCACAAGCUAUACUCCAUAGUUAAUACUCUAAACCUAUUACAAGUUGUACUUCAUCAUCCAAAGAUCUACAAAGCAUACAAAUGAUCAUCAUUGUUUGGAAUCAUCUUCUCGUUAGGAUUAUAGUAGAACUCGCCGCUUGGAUUUAUGACUUGUUCCCGAAGAAAUCCUGCUAUUGCCUCCUGUAUUGCUUGGAGUUGUUUAUGUUGCAUGAGUUUUGCUUCAACCAUUCAAUCUUCAAUUUGAAUUGAAAUAAGGUAUUAGUUAUAUCAAGAUUAUUAAUAGUAAUUCGAGAAAAAAUAAAAAGAGACAUGUGUUACAUACUUUGAGGUAUUUUUUAGAAUUCUAUUUGUUACUGCCAUAAUAUACUCGCAAACGUAGUAUCCACAUAAGUUGUUCCCCGGUUCUUGUCUCAAGAUCCACUGUAGGAUGUAAGAUUCAUCUCGUAAAAAUACAAGAUAUAAGAUAUACCACGUACAUUGACGAGAAGGAUAAACUUACUUGCAGUUGUAUAAUCUUUAGUGGUGCCCUACGUUGAGUUAGAUGUUCCCGAACAAUGAAUCUUUCACAAACCCUAACCAAUGAUAUAUUUGAAACAAGAGAGUUGGAUCAUUAAGUAUGCAUAUAUACGAGCUUAGUCUACUUUACGCAUGCAAAUGGAUCGAAAAUACCUUUGAAUGAUGUCUAUCAUAUCUUGGUAAUCUUGUUGCGGUUUCUUCAUUGAGACAUAGAUUACCAACUUUCUUUUAGCAAGAUCGAUGACUAUGAGUAUCCAGUGAAAACUGUUCAUAGAGACACGAGUCGUAGAUUAGGGUUAAGUAAAAUUAAAGGUGCACACUUGCAUGUUAACUAUAUAUGUAUAACUCACUUGAAGUUGUAGGGGAAGAGUUUUCUUUUUUUGUCUUUUUGGUUCACAAACAACCUCAUAAGAUUAGUACACAUGUCAU
rnacentral:lncRNA from 1 species